rnacentral:rRNA from 1 species
CGCCUAUUAAAGUGGUACGCGAGCUGGGUUCAGACCGGCGUGAGCCAGGUCGGUCCCUAUCUGUUGUGGGCGUUGCAAACUUGAGAGGAGUCAACUUUAGUACGAGAGGAUUAGGUUGGACUGACCCCUGGUGAUCCUGUUGGGCUGCUAAGCCCAUCGCAGGGUAGCUACGUCGGGCAGGGAUAACAGCUGAAAGCAUCUAAGCAGGAAGCCCCCCUCAAGAUCAGGUUUGCUUGUCUUGUACGUGAGACCCCUGGGAGACUACCAGGUUGAUAGGCCGCAGGUGUAAGGGUUGAGAAGCCCUCAGCUGAGCGGUACUAACGGUCGAAGGUUUG